GACGACGCUGGCGGCGUGGAUUAGGCAUGCAAGUCGAACGGUAUCAUCCUUUCGGGGGUGAGAGAGUGGCGAACUGGUGAGUAACACGUAGGUUAUCUACCCUCAAGACGGGGACAACCCAGGGAAACUUGGGCUAAUACCGGAUGUGAGCAACUUUUAGUUGUUUGAAAGGUGGCGUAAGCUGUCGCUUGGGGAUGAGCCUGCGUCCUAUUAGUUAGUUGGUGAGGUAACGGCUCACCUAGGCAAUGAUAGGUAGGCGGCCUUAACGGGUGGUCGCCCACACUGGGAUUGAGAUACGGCCCAGACUCCUACGGGAGGCAGCAGUCGAGAAUUAGUCUACAAUGGUCGGAAGACUGAUAGUGCGACGCCGCGUGAACGAUGAAUCCCUUCGGGGUGUAAAGUUCUUUUAUAUGUGAGCAGUGCUUCUUAUAUUAACAGUAUGGGGAGAGAGAUAUUAGCAUAUGAAUAAGCAACGGCUAACUCCGUG
rnacentral:rRNA from 1 species